ensembl:lncRNA
AUGUUUUUCUUAGGGGUCUUGCAACCAGCAGGAGGAGCAGCAGAAAAGGAAGACACUGAUUCUUCCCUGGAUUCUGAGACUGAUCCUAAAAGUCAAGGGAGAGUGUGGACCAGUGUGUGGCUUCCUGCUGCAAAAGGCAACAGGUUGGAUGCGCGCUCUGCCAAAGUGGAAUGUGGCAAAGGUGUCUCGUCAGCAGCAUCAGUAGAAGCAGAAAAGGAAGAUGGUGAUCUCUCUUGGGGUUCUGAGGCUUUUUCUGAUAUUGUAAAGAAAGUGUUAGGUGGCAAGCGGCGUCCUGCUGCAAAACGCAAACCAGUGGGUGUGCGCUCUACUGCAGUGGAAUGUGGCAAAGGGGUCUUGAAACAAGCAUGUAGAGAAGGGAUGAAGGAAGAUGGAGUCUUGCAGCCAGCAGGGGGAGAAGCAAAAGACGAAGACAACGAUUCUCCCUGGGAUUCUGAGACUGAUUCUGAAGGUGAAGGGAAAAUGUCAGCUGCUGUCCAGCUUCCCACUGCAAACAGCAACAGUGAAGUGUCAGCUGCUGUCCAGCCUCCUGCUGCAAAGAGCAACAAGUUGUAUGCUGGCUCUGCUGCAGUGGAAUGUGGCAAAGGGGUCUUGAAACAAGCAUGUAGAGAAGAGAUGAAGGAAGAUGGAGUCUUGCAGCCAGCAGGGGGAGAAGCAAAAGAUGAAGACAACGAUUCUCCCUGGGAUUCUGAGACUGAUUCUGAAGGUGAAGGGAAAAUGUCAGCUGCUGUCCAGCUUCCCACUGCAAACAGCAACAGGUUGUAUGUUGGCUCUGCUGCCGUGGAAUGUGGCAAAGGGGUCUUGAAACAAGCAUAUAGAGAAGGGAUGAAGGAAGAUGGAGUCAUGCAGUCAGCAGGGGGAACAGCAAAAGACGAAGACAACGAUUCUCCCUGGGAUCCUGAGGUACUUUCUCUGAGGCAGGCACUGGGGGUCCCUCUGAUUCACCUGCUUCAUUUUCCUUUGCUGCUGCUUCUGUCACACGUUCAUAACUUGGACCUUGACAGGCUGCUGCUUUAUCAGACAAGCUGUCUGAUUUGGGACAGGGACAAAGUGAGGUCCAGCUAG